UUAGGACUUUUUCUUCAUUGUCCUUGUUCUUCGAGGAGACUUUUCUUGAUGGGGUCUGAGAUUUCUUCACACCUCUUGAUUUCUUCUUAGCUGGUGUGAUUGUUACUGGUUCAGAGUUAUCAGACUCAGAGCUCUCUGCCUCUUCUAUCGUCCUCUUCUUUGCAGAAGCCCUACUGCUGCUCCCAGCUGUCAGCCUUUUGUUCUCCUUAGGGUUCUUCUUCCAAUUCAUAAAUAAUUGUGGAGACAUCACUUUGGGCACAUUCAAAGUUUAUCCCUCAUCAUCCUUGAUUUUCCCUCCUAGCUUCUUAUUCAUUACAAUACUCAGCAGCCUACCAUGAAACACCUUGGUCAGGGGUUUUUCAGUGGACUUCUUCUUCUCAGACUUUUCUACCCACUUGGAGAUCUGAUCGAACAAGAUAUCUCCAAAGUCAAUUUAUUUCUUCAGAACUAUUAC
rnacentral:lncRNA from 1 species